GAACGAGAAAGUGGAGCAAUCCAUGAGUAAAGUGGCGACCGGGUGAGUAACACGUGACUAACCUACCUCUUAGUGGGGAAUAACUCCGGGAAACCGGGGCUAAUACCGCAUAACAUCGCAGGGGGAAGAUCCCUGCGAUCAAAGAAGCAAUUCGCUCAAGGAGGGGGUCGCGGCUGAUUAGCUAGUUGGUGAGGUAACGGCCCACCAAGGCUUAGAUCAGUAGCCGGCCUGAGAGGGCGCACGGCCACACUGGAACUGAAACACGGUCCAGACUCCUACGGGAGGCAGCAGUGGGGAAUUUUGCGCAAUGGGGGAAACCCUGACGCAGCAACGCCGCGUGGAGGAUGAAGUCCCUUGGGACGUANACUCCUUUCGACCAAGACGAUAAUGACGGUACUGGUGGAAGAAGCACCGGCUAACUCUGUG
rnacentral:rRNA from 1 species